GUGCAUCAACCAAAUAUUCAAAAUUCGAGACCUCAUUUUCUACAAGGUUCUGCUACAGCUUUGGUUGCAAGAUGUUCUCCAAGGAUACCCUGCACUGGACAUGAUUGAACUUGUAAAAUGUGCAAGUGUCAAUGAUUUGCUACAGUAAGAUAACAAGUAACAGGAAUAAUACCUAUUUCUUCAAGAUGUUCUUCAAUUUUGGUACAAUAACCUAUUUGUUAUCUCAGUUUCAGGAAUACUACCUAUUUUUUUCAAAAUGUUCUUAAGUUUUCCUACAAUAACCUAUUUGUUAUUUCAGUUUCUCACAUUAGCAUGGGUAUAAUACCUAAGUUGUUGUUUUUUUCAACUGAACUUAACGAAUUUGACAAAAUAAUUGAGUGAUUUGUUCUAGAACCCUAUAUAAAAUUUGAUACAAACACAACUGAAAAAAAUCAAUUAUACUAAAAACUUGAGCAUGCGCUUCUAGGUUAAUAUGACAGGACUAUCUACAACAGCUUGAGUACAUAAGUUAUUAGAGGUUUCUUGUGUGCCUAGGGUGUUUCCUUCUUAAUACAAAUGCCACACGGGCUAGUCCCUAUUUUUCUGGUUUGCUGCAUUAGAGGUUUCUUGCAAGUCAAGCUCAAAUUACAGUAUCAAUCAGUUAUUUGAUUUCAAAAUAAUAUGGUACAGUUUCUUGCCUUGAUAGAUAACCUCAUGUUAUUGUUGAAAGCUCUCUGUCUUUGUCUUCAUGAUGUUCCUUGUGCCUGCCAUGCUACCGCUCCAUGCUUUCUAAAUCCCAACAUAAUGAAAGAGAAUGAAACCAAAAGGUUGGACAAACAAAACGAGAGAACAAUUUAUUGUGGUACUGGAAAAGAUCCCAACAAAAUAUAAAGAGUGGCUACGUUCAAACUAAACCGACAUAGCAGCUACUUGCUCAACCCAGAUAUCAUGAUCUUGAGGACACAUGACAUAUGAUGGUCAUAUACAGGAGACAACUUGACAA
rnacentral:rRNA from 1 species